rnacentral:pre_miRNA from 1 species
AUUCGUGCACUAGUAGUAGUUGAAGCUGCCAGCAUGAUCUGAACUUUCCUUGACCUCCAUCUCUAGGGAAAGGCCAGAUCAUCUGGCAGUUUCACCUAUUGAUGGUAGCAUGGCCAGAAACCCUAAUUUCUUCUCCUCCACCAGAUCGUUCUCAACAAACCCAGUAGGUUUUGGCAGAUGAAAAACCCUAGAAACAGGUAUC